UACGUAGGUGGCAAGCGUUGUCCGGAAUUAUUGGGCGUAAAGCGCGCGCAGGCGGCCUCUUAAGUCUGAUGUGAAAGCCCACGGCUCAACCGUGGAGGGUCAUUGGAAACUGGGAGACUUGAGUGCAGACGAGGAGAGCGGAAUUCCACGUGUAGCGGUGAAAUGCGUAGAGAUGUGGAGGAACACCAGUGGCGAAGGCGGCUCUCUGGUCUGUAACUGACGCUGAGGCGCGAAAGCGUGGGGAGCGAACAGGAUUAGAUACCCUAGUAGUCC
rnacentral:rRNA from 1 species